GACGAACGCUGGCGGCGUGCUUAACACAUGCAAGUCGUACGGUAAGGCCCUUUCGGGGGUACACGAGUGGCGGACGGGUGAGUAACACGUGCGUAACCUGCCCACAACUUUGGGAUAACGCUAGGAAACUGGUGCUAAUACUGGAUAUGUGCUCCUGCUUCAUGGUGGGGGUUGGAAAGCUCCGGCGGUUGUGGAUGGACUCGCGGCCUAUCAGCUUGUUGGUGGGGUAGUGGCCUACCAAGGCGGCGACGGGUAGCCGGCCUGAGAGGGUGACCGGCCACAUUGGGACUGAGAUACGGCCCAGACUCCUACGGGAGGCAGAAGUGGGGAAUAUUGCACAAUGGGCGCAAGCCUGAUGCAGCAACGCCGCGUGCGGGAUGACGGCCUUCGGGUUGUAAACCGCUUUCAGCAGGGACGAAGCUUUUUGUGACGGUACCUGCAGAAGAAGCACCGGCUAACUACGUG
rnacentral:rRNA from 1 species